rnacentral:rRNA from 1 species
UGGGGAAUAUUGCACAAUGGGCGAAAGCCUGAUGCAGCAAUGCCGCGUGUGUGAAGAAGGCCUGCGGGUUGUAAAGCACUUUUCGGUAGGGAAGAUAAUGACGGUACCUACAGAAGAAGCACCGGCUAACUCCGUGCCAGCAGCCGCGGUAAUACGGAGGGUGCGAGCGUUAAUCGGAAUUACUGGGCGUAAAGCGCGCGUAGGCGGCUUUGUAAGUCGGAUGUGAAAGCCCCGGGCUUAACCUGGGAAUUGCAUUCGAUACUGCAUAGCUAGAGUAUGGUAGAGGGUAGCGGAAUUCCGGGUGUAGCGGUGAAAUGCGUAGAUAUCCGGAGGAACACCAGUGGUGAAGGCGGCUACCUGGACCAAUACUGACGCUGAGGCGCGAAAGCGUGGGGAGCAAACAGGAUUAGAUACCCUUGUAGUCCCUGAGCGGGCUGGCAAGGCGCAU